rnacentral:rRNA from 1 species
UACGAAGGGGGCUAGCGUUGCUCGGAAUCACUGAGCGUAAAGCGCACGUAGGCGGUUUCUUAAGUCAGGGGUGAAAUCCUGGAGCUCAACUCCAGAACUGCCUUUGAUACUGGGAGACUUGGAGUCCGGGAGAGGUGAGUGGAACUGCGAGUGUAGAGGUGAAAUUCGUAGAUAUUCGCAAGAACACCAGUGGCGAAGGCGGCUCACUGGCCCGGUACUGACGCUGAGGUGCGAAAGCGUGGGGAGCAAACAGG